GGCCUAUUAGCUCAGCUGGUUAGAGCGUCGUGCUAAUAACGCGAAGGUCACAGGUUCGGGACCUAUAUGGGCCA
rnacentral:tRNA from 1 species